UACGUAGGGGGGCAAGCGUUGUCCGGAUUUAUUGGGCGUAAAGAGCGUGUAGGCGGCCAGAUAGGUCUGCUGUGAAAACUCGAGGCUCAACCUCGAGAUGUCGACCGAAAACCAUCUGGCUAGAGUCCGGGAGAGGAGAGUGGAAUUCCUGGUGUAGCGGUGGAAUGCGCAGAUAUCAGGAAGAACACCAGUGGCGAAGGCGGCUCACUGGACUGGUAUUGACGCUGAGGUGCGAAAGCGUGGGGAGCAAACAGG
rnacentral:rRNA from 1 species